rnacentral:rRNA from 1 species
AGAGUUUGAUCCUGGCUCAGAUUGAACGCUGGCGGCAGGCCUAACACAUGCAAGUCGAGCGGUAGAGAGAAGCUUGCUUCUCUUGAGAGCGGCGGACGGGUGAGUAAUGCCUAGGAAUCUGCCUGGUAGUGGGGGAUAACGUUCGGAAACGGACGCUAAUACCGCAUACGUCCUACGGGAGAAAGCAGGGGACCUUCGGGCCUUGCGCUAUCAGAUGAGCCUAGGUCGGAUUAGCUAGUUGGUGAGGUAAUGGCUCACCAAGGCGACGAUCCGUAACUGGUCUGAGAGGAUGAUCAGUCACACUGGAACUGAGACACGGUCCAGACUCCUACGGGAGGCAGCAGUGGGGAAUAUUGGACAAUGGGCGAAAGCCUGAUCCAGCCAUGCCGCGUGUGUGAAGAAGGUCUUCGGAUUGUAAAGCACUUUAAGUUGGGAGGAAGGGCAGUAAAUUAAUACUUUGCUGUUUUGACGUUACCGACAGAAUAAGCACCGGCUAACUCUGUGCCAGCAGCCGCGGUAAUACAGAGGGUGCAAGCGUUAAUCGGAAUUACUGGGCGUAAAGCGCGCGUAGGUGGUUUGUUAAGUUGGAUGUGAAAUCCCCGGGCUCAACCUGGGAACUGCAUUCAAAACUGACUGACUAGAGUAUGGUAGAGGGUGGUGGAAUUUCCUGUGUAGCGGUGAAAUGCGUAGAUAUAGGAAGGAACACCAGUGGCGAAGGCGACCACCUGGACUAAUACUGACACUGAGGUGCGAAAGCGUGGGGGGCAAACAGGAUUAGAUACCCUGGUAGUCCACGCCGUAAACGAUGUCAACUAGCCGUUGGAAGCCUUGAGCUUUUAGUGGCGCAGCUAACGCAUUAAGCUGACCGCCUGGGGAGUACGGCCGCAAGGUUAAAACUCAAAUGAAUUGACGGGGGCCCGCACAAGCGGUGGAGCAUGUGGUUUAAUUCGAAGCAACGCGAAGAACCUUACCAGGCCUUGACAUCCAAUGAACUUUCUAGAGAUAGAUUGGUGCCUUCGGGAACAUUGAGACAGGUGCUGCAUGGCUGUCGUCAGCUCGUGUCGUGAGAUGUUGGGUUAAGUCCCGUAACGAGCGCAACCCUUGUCCUUAGUUACCAGCACGUAAUGGUGGGCACUCUAAGGAGACUGCCGGUGACAAACCGGAGGAAGGUGGGGAUGACGUCAAGUCAUCAUGGCCCUUACGGCCUGGGCUACACACGUGCUACAAUGGUCGGUACAGAGGGUUGCCAAGCCGCGAGGUGGAGCUAAUCCCACAAAACCGAUCGUAGUCCGGAUCGCAGUCUGCAACUCGACUGCGUGAAGUCGGAAUCGCUAGUAAUCGCGAAUCAGAAUGUCGCGGUGAAUACGUUCCCGGGCCUUGACUAACCGCCCGUC